CAAAAAAAUUUGUGAAUAACGACAGAAUGAUAGGGGCGGUUCACUAAAACCGUCGUCGCUAUGUUGUUUUCAUGAGUUUGCGACUGUUCAUUCUAAACCGUCGUCGUCAUAUCUGAAUAUUACCGCUACCCUUUCCUUGUUCCCUCUUUUUUUUUUUUGCACUCACAAAUUUGGCUUCCAUUCACAAAUCGUUCGAUCCUUCAACAAUAAAUCAUUCUCAGAAAUCCUUCAUUUCAGAAUUGUUCAAUCGAGUUUCAGAAUCGUUCAACCCUAGUUUCAUUUCAACAAAGCUUCGAUUCAAUUUCUCAGAAAUCCUUCAUUUCAGCAUCAUUCAACUUGAAUUGUUCAAUUGAGUUUCAAAAUCGUUCAACCCUAGUUUCAACAAAGCUUCGAUUCAGUUUCUCAGAAAUCCUUCAUUUCAGCAUCGUUCAACUUCAGAGUUGUUCAAUUGAGUUUCAGUUAUCUCAUUUGGAAUCGUUCACGGUUCAUCACUCGUUUAACCUUCAAAUUCUUCGUUGGUAAUUAGACUUAGGUAUUUCAAACUUUCCGACGGCCGCAAUGUUGAGACAAAACUAAUAUGAACAGAGCUAAUAUGAAAUGAUUAAUUCACACUGUAAUGAGCUUUUCAAUAUCACGAUUUUGGAGGAAGGUAGUGGAAUAAAGAAUCGUGUUGUUUGACAUAGAUCAAAGCUCGAACUUUACACAAAGUGUAACAGGAUCUCAUCUUGGGCCUGCGGUUUUACACGAACUGUUGUUCUUCAAUAUCUCAUCUUGGGCCUGCGGUUUUACACGAACUGUUGUUCUUCAAUGAUUCUAUCCUGGUGUUACUGAUGCAUUAAAAUUUGCAAGCACAAGAGUGUACAAUGUACAUUGUCACCACAAAACAGGUCUGACUUCUCUCUCUGCUCCUACCAUGAAGACAAUAGUCCUAAUCCUAUGACAUGCCAUUAUUUAUACUUUUGCCAAUAAUUAGCAUCUGAUAAAAUUUAUGAAUGUGAAUUUUGUAAAUGUUAAUUACCAUUGCCAAUAAUUAGGAUAUGACACAAAUUCCUAAUUGGCAACAUCUGAUUUAUCAUAUCUCACACACCCUGAAAUGAAACUAAAUUUGCAAUAGCUGGUCAUACUUGGUCUAUGUACUCAUUGAAGGAUUAGUAAUAGUAAUAGUGGAUAUGCAAUCACACAUGCUGCAUUAAAUUGUAGUACAUGAACACUAACUAGGAUUCUUUGUUUUGCAUAUGAUACUUUCUUUUGAGCUUCCAUUCACUUUAAUUUCACUCCUUAAGUUUAGCAGCGGUAGUACAAAGAUAGGACCUCGUAAGAAUUCAAUGACUUAUGCAGAGAAAGGAGUGCUUCAUUUUGGAUUCACAAAAGCUUGAACUAAGAACACCUUUCUGAUAGAUACCCUGUUCAUAAUGUUAGCUACACUUAUCCACACAUUGUAGUAACUGAUCCAUGUGUUUGAGUUUCAAGAUGGCUUUGUGAAUAGCAUGGACAAUCACCUGAACGAAAAGACAGUUGGAAAGCAUCUAACCAAUGGUUUUGAGGAGAAAUAUGCAUUCCUCUUGACCAAGAGAUGUCAUUACCGACUUUUCAAAACUUCACAGCCAUUACUAGUUUUGAACAACUCCACCGCGUAAGAGCGGUCAACACCAACUCUACUCAACCAUUUUGUCAUUGCUUAGAAAUUUUUUGAAUUGGAGUUUCUUAAUGAUUAAUACGUUUUGAUGAUUUGAUUUAUGUAGUGGUUUGGGGCAAAUUGACUUGUUUUAUUAUUGUUUAUAAAUAAGCACUUAUUUAUGCUAUAAGUGCUUAAUUAAGUUGUUUAAAAAAAAAUAAAGUUGUUUAUCCAAUCAAGGCCUUAGUAUCCUCUUGUUCCUUCAUAUCAAGUUCAAUCUUAAUAACAGG